UUAUUUGGACAUAAAUAAUACGAAAUUUAUCGAGAUUUAACGAUUGAGUGAUUUUUGGACUAAAUUGAGCAAAAGAAAAGCUUAGGACCAAAAGUUAAGGAGGUGGCUUCAUUAAGGGUUGAAGUGCACUUUUUGCCAUAAAUAUAUAUAGGCCUAAAUUAAAAUAAGAUCAGCAAUUACUCAUAAUUUCCAGCCAUCUUCUUCAUUCACUCAAAGCUUCUCCAAAACUCUACAUCCAUUAAAAUUUAAAACUAGCAUAACUCUUUCAUUUCUCAACCAAAUUGAGUGAUAUUGGUGUCUAUGGAAAGAGGAGAAGAUUAUCUACUGAUCUAGACUAUAAAUUUAAGAUUCUUCGUUUAACAUCGGAAUUGAGCGAUUUUGGCGGCGUUGGAACGGGAAAGGAAAGACCUACUGAUAUAAGCCAUAAAUUUCAGGUACCUAGACUUGGAGUGACUAGAAGUCCAUCAUUUUUUCCGGGAGUCUGUCUUGCCAUGUACAGGCCGGCUUCCGUGACCGCUGCAGUAGUACAUUGUGUGAUCAGUCAUGACCUAGGACAAUAUUAUAGUUUUGGAAAAUGUUUAUAACGAUGUUAGAUUUACGUAGCCAGUGUUUACAAAAUAACUAAUAAUGUUUUCAUAAUUAAAUGCUUCCGUGUUAUAACAUAAUUGCGAAAAAUUUAUAGUGAAUUUCAGGCUUGCUACGGGAUUCGGAACUACAAUUCCCAUUCCCUAGCGCCGGUCGCGGCCCUCGAUUUUGGGUCGUGACAAAGUUGGUAUCAGAGCAGUUGGUCCAGUUACCACUGCCAGUCUAUGAAAAGUGUCUGUUUGACCUUAAGUACCUAGGAACUACUGCAGCGUAUAGAGUCGAGCCUUAUUGACUAUAUGUGUUGCUUGAGUUUGUUUUAUGUUAUAAGCAAUUCAUUGCCGAUUAGAACGUGUGAGUGUGAGAUUGCUUAAGUGUCUCAAUGAAUAUGAUAUGCUUAGAUAGUUAGUCAAGCUUUAAGUUACAUAGUGCAUAUCAUAUGUUAAAUUUUUGGAUAUUGUGGAAAAGUGGUUUGGACAGCAACUCAUGAUUAAGAAUUGUUUUUAUUCAACAUAUCCGGGUAAAAUGGAGCUCAGCUACAUGCUGUAUCAGAAGAGGAGGAAGUGCCUCCUAUUUAUCAAAAUGAAUUUCAUGUAGAUACUGGCAAAUGAUCAGGAAUUCAUCAAAAUAGUUUUCACACUAAUG